rnacentral:lncRNA from 1 species
UUCACGCAGCAACGUGAUCGGCGUGUUUUCGAUGAUCUCGACGCUCAGCAAGAUCCAUUGUGCAGUGUUAAGUUCAGAAAUGUUUUCCUCAUCGUAUGCAGCAGUGAAUUCUCUUGUGCGCUUCGUCGUUUCCGCCCGCUGGAUAUCGACGAUUUUGACAAAGAACUCUACGAAGUCUUGCGGGCUGGCGAGGAAAACGGCUGCACCCACUUACUGCACAUGAGCCAAACUGAGGAAGGGAUGGAGGAGGCGUGAGUCGAACAACCGACGUGUGCAGCGGAAACUCGGCGAUGCUCAACUGGGACCGGGAUCACGAAAAAACACCUUUACCUCGAGGCGAAAAAGUGUCCCCUGCAGGACCUCCAGAAGAAACACCAGUCCCCGCAACGGUACCUUGCACAAGAAUGUGCCAACCUGCACUAUUAAUCCAGCUAGGUUUUCAUGGACAUUUUCAUUAAUUUUAUUGCCCUUGAAGUUAUUAAAGUGCUAAUUUGUU